UUAAUUGAAGAGUUUGAUCAUGGCUCAGAUUGAACGCUGGCGGCAGGCCUAACACAUGCAAGUCGAGCGGCAGCACAGAGGAACUUGUUCCUUGGGUGGCGAGCGGCGGACGGGUGAGUAAUGCCUGGGAAAUUGCCCGGUAGAGGGGGAUAACCAUUGGAAACGAUGGCUAAUACCGCAUAACCUCGUAAGAGCAAAGCAGGGGACCUUCGGGCCUUGCGCUACCGGAUAUGCCCAGGUGGGAUUAGCUAGUUGGUGAGGUAAGGGCGCACCAAGGCGACGAUCCCUAGCUGGUCUGAGAGGAUGAUCAGCCACACUGGAACUGAGACACGGUCCAGACUCCUACGGGAGGCAGCAGUGGGGAAUAUUGCACAAUGGGCGCAAGCCUGAUGCAGCCAUGCCGCGUGUAUGAAGAAGGCCUUCGGGNNGUAAAGUACUUUCAGUAGGGAGGAAGGUGGUUAAGCU
rnacentral:rRNA from 1 species